rnacentral:lncRNA from 1 species
GUUGGAAGCAGAAAGUCACAGCAUCCCUGAGAGCUGCUUCCAUCAGUAGAGCAGUAGUAGAAAGCCGGGACACACCAGUGAUCGUAUUGGAGCAAUAGCAUAGCAAACCUGAAGAGCAAGAAAGGAGAUGAGGCCACCCAGGGACCACAGGAGAGCACAAAUGAGUUUCCGUCUGCCGCCUGUCUCCGUUGCUGAAGCUCACAGAGCCCAAGGGAAGACGACAGAUGAUCAAAAGCCAAUGGCAAAGCAAUAUGGCGGCAUGGACCAAGAAGGCCAAAUGUGAGGCUAUAGCUUUAGGAAGACA